ensembl:snRNA U6 U6 spliceosomal RNA
AUGCUUGCUUUGGCAGCACGUAUACUAAAAUUGGAAAAAUACAGAGAAGAUUAGCAUGGCCCCUAUGCAAGGAUAACACGUAAAUUCGUGAAGCAUUCCAUUUAUUU